rnacentral:rRNA from 1 species
UACGUAGGCAGCAAGCGUUGUUCGGAGUUACUGGGCGUAAAGGGUGCGUAGGCGGUUGUUUAAGUUUGGUGUGAAAUCUCCCGGCUCAACUGGGGGGGUGCGCCGAAUACUGAAUGACUCGAGUGCGGGAGAGGAGAGUGGAAUUCCUGGUGUAGCGGUGAAAUGCGUAGAUAUCAGGAGGAACACCGGUGGUGUAGACGGCUCUCUGGACCGUAACUGACGCUGAGGCACGAAAGCGUGGGUAGCAAACAGG